CAAUAGCGUAUAUUAAAGUUGUUGCAGUUAAAAAGCUCGUAGUUGGAUUUCUGAUCGAGACAUCAGGUCGGGUCCGAGAGGAUCAUGUACUUUGAUUUUGUUUUGAUCAUCCUUGGGGAGAGCAUUUCUGGCAUUCAGUUGUCGGGAUUGGGAUCCUCAUCGUUUACUGUGAAAAAAUUAGAGUGUUCAAAGCAGGCCUCGGCCUCUGAAUACAUUAGCAUGGAAUAGUAAGAUAGGACUUUGGUGGUCUAUUUUGUUGGUUUGCACGCCAAAGUAAUGAUUAAUAGGGAUAGUUGGGGGUAUUCGUAUUCAAUUGUCAGAGGUGAAAUUCUUGGAUUUAUGGAAGACGAACUACUGCGAAAGCAUUUACCAAGGAUGUUUUCAUUAA
rnacentral:rRNA from 1 species